CAGUGUGGAAGCCAUUAAUGGCAGCAUUUGAGAAAGGUCCAAGCUUGCUGAUUGAACUUGUCAAAACUUCUCUGACCAGUACUUUCCCAAGCGCCUGCUUCAACAUGAGCUCAAUCCCUUCACCGCAAUGGCCUUGCUAUUAACACAAACCAAUUCAACUCGGCGAUUCUUCUGAGUUUACUGAAACCUGAAAAACCAUGAAAGAAGAGAUCAGCACAAGAAGAAGUUUGCGAAAAACCAGAGAUAUCUAGCUCUGGCAUAGUGUAUCAUAAACCAGGUGAAGACCCAAGAAGAAAAAAGAUGCAAUAGUGUAUCCAACACUGGAACAGGCAAUUCAUCGAACAGUUGGCAUGCAAGCAGCUAAAACAAACACGAGCCAAAGAAACUUCAUAUUGUUCAAAUCCUUCUCGAUUUUCACUUACAUAUAGAUUCUCUUCCAAAACUUCCAAUCGAAACCAGACAGUAGCAAGCGAUU
rnacentral:lncRNA from 1 species